UCUAGACUCGCCAGGAGCCAAGUGGGCCGGGAGGCUGGCCUUGCUGGCUGUGCUCAGCAGGAACCCAGUGGGCAGAAAUCCCACUGCCCGGCUCUCCUGGGGCGGGGGUAGAAGGGCAGACUGUAACUCUGUAGUCGUAUUGUGAAGACGAAGGAGGAAACCAGAGCAGCCGAUCCGGCCUGGAUCCCAGUGCCCACGUGCGCACAGAUAGGCCUUUGUGUCCCGGGCCCAGACAACAGGCCACAUUCUUCCCCCACCUCAGUGACGUCCUUCACGGACAUGUCCCCAGAGCACAUUUUCAAAGGAUUAAUCAGCUAUGGAUCAGAUGACACGGCAUUCCCUCUGCUACCCCCUCUCUGCCCAGGCUGCGCCUUCUCUUUGUCGUCUCCGAGCACAGAGCGGGUGGCCGACCCCAGCCCCGCCGACCGGCUGCUUCCAGCGGCCCCUGCACCGCUGUAGGUCUACGAACUUCAACGUACAUAUAGACUGACAUAACCACCACCACGAGCAGGGUACCGAACAAGUCCCAUCAGCCGAAAAUUCUCCCUGGGGCUCUGCCUUCUUGGUCACACCCACCCUCACCUUCUCCUAACCUCUGACAACACUGAGCCGUUCUCCGUCUCCAUAGCUUGGUCUUCUCAAGAACGUCCUAUAAAUGGAAUGAGACAGGGUAGCUGCUCGGGACUUUCAAUACCAGCCUCCUCUCCUCCCACUGCCUGGAAGUUUGGCCCAACGGCUCGCCCCGGAAUUGCCGGUAUGUAGAGACAAGUUGAAGAAAAGGGAGCAUCACAGGGUCACAUGAUGGCAGGACAGGAAGGGGCCUGAGUACAUCUAGAAUGCAGGAGCACUUAUGAACCAACCCCCCACCCCCACCCCAGCCAAGGCUGCCUGGAGCCGGUAGGACUUCAUGAUCUAUCUCUGAGUUGGGAGCUGUUUCAAAACGAUAUUAGUACUUUGAACAAGUGUGGCCAACGAGAAUGGGUAAGGCUGGUGGCUGUUACCAGAUGUGCCUCUGCACGACCAAGGGGCGAGGGGAAAGGCCUUCAGCCGUUCUCUUCAGGGAGACCCUGCCAUUCCUCUGAGCCAAUGUGUCACACUCACAAAGCCAGUAAAUUGGACAGCGGCUACUCAGGACAGCUUAUUUAUAGCGCCAACUACUCUGCCCUCGCCCCUGUGAAAAUUGAGCGAGGAGAACAGCCCAGCGGGAUGGAACGUGUGGCCAUCUGUGACUCUGUUUCCACAACAAAUGCCUCCCAGCUGCGUGUUCCCAUCAGCACCGCGCGGGCACUUGAGCCGAUGGCAGGCAGGGUGCAGCUGGGGCAGGGCCCUUGGAAUCCCAACCCUCUGUGACCUCAUCCCUUCCAGGAACAGCCUGAUGCCAGGACAGGCCCUGGAGGUCACCCUACGUGUUCCCGAGAGAAUAGAGAACAGUUCCGUGUCCAGAGUCCGCAGUGUUUCGGGGUGCAGAUGGCCUUGGGGCCCGCCCAGCAGGUACCCCUGACCCUGCCAGAGUCUAACAAGGCAAGGCUCCCUUGAAGGCCUGCAGAGCACAGGGGUUCAGCCGGGAACAGCAAACUCUCCCUCUGGCACAGAAGCAUAUAGAUGAGCUCCGACAGGAACAGAGAAAGUUCACUUCAAAAUCUGCCUCCCGUGCGAAAAACUCAGAAGACCAAUUUGAUGCCCAUGUUGUGUCACUGUUCUACUAUUUCCAGGCCAGUGCUAUCAUUUUUAAAUCGUUAGGGUCAUGCUCCGUUGUAAAAAGACGAACUGUUCUGAGCGGUCAGGCCCCGUGCUCUGAUGCGCCCGUCUGGACAGGCAGCCAGCGGCCUUUCCUUCCACCCAGGCACUUGCCAUCAGUCUGGGAGCUGUGAAGAAAGGGGAGUCAACGGACCCCACCUUCCAGCAGGUUCUAUUCUUCCUGCUGACUCCAGCCCAUCACAAGGUUGCUUGGGGUGCUCUGCCCAUCACCCAAGAGGAACCAACUCGGUGGGGAGGCUUUCGGCAGGUCACGGACCAGAGAGGGUCUGAAGACACCGUCCCCGCACCCGGAGCACGGCCGACAAUCGUCGCUCCUCUGCCAAAUGUGAUCGCGGCUACAGCACAGGGAGGGAGGGGGGCAUCUAAAACCCCUAUUCCUUCAGGUGCAGGAGACUUUGGAGAAACAGACCUGCUUGAGGAUUCGAAUAGUGACGGUUGGGCUCAAAAGCCCAGGGGGCCACCUCUCUUCCUCUCAGGCCGGGCCACACGAACGGAGGAACGCAGCAGGACAGCGGAGUGGCUGAGCCCAGGAGACCGCCGGCCUGAGGCUCUUGGCCGGAGCUCCGCUGACCCGUCCGCGAGCCACACUGUCCUCCCUUGACGAGCAAACCCUCUCCUGACACCCAGCCCACUUGGCGUUUGCCCUCAUCUCUAGUUCUCAAAUUCCUGAUUUUGUACCCAGGAUCUUUAUCUGCUUCUGGCUCCCGUGAUUUGGCAAAUUGCCAAAGCCCAGCCGGCUGGUGUUCUUAAGGGAUGUCAACUCAGCUGACAGAGUCCCCGCUCCAGCCCCUAGCAGUCAAGGACAGCAUCGCCACCCCUACAGCUCAGCUCCCUCUGAUGCCCGUUUCAAAAUGUCAGCAGUCAGCUUUCGGGUCCGUUGCCGAAGGGACCUGUGUACUGGGAUGUUGGAACCCUGGGUCCCCACCCCACACGCAGAGGGUGAGCACUGGACCCUGUGGAGGCCACGUCUGGAGAGAUGGGCCUCCUGACGCAGCCUCCAGCCGUCCUGGACCUUCAGACCCCAAGAGACUCUAAGAUCAGGGCUAAUCUGGACGCCGAGGUCCACAGCGGAAAACUCAUGACCCCUCUGUGCUGCUUCCUACCUCUGUGCGCCUCACACCUUCCUUCCAGGCCCCCCCGCCGCAGGGAGAAGCCACCCUCCAGCUCCGCCUGUGUCUCCCCCCAUCCCUCAGUGGUUGUAUUUCGGGGACUCAGAAACAUCGAGGGUCAACCGGACCCAGGGAACCCGACCGGUUAGCCUCUGAGCGACUGGCCUGGCCCAGCUUCCGCUGGCUGUCCACAAGAGUAAAUAAACUUCAGCCAGCUCUCUAUCGUUACUGAAGAUCAGUUACUCCCCUCAAGAUCCAACCUGGCAUCUUGGUCCCUAAUUAAGCCUGUAGCGGCUGUCUGCUUGAAGAAAGGGCAGAAAGUAACACAGAGCUGCUAAGACGGUCUAGAAGGGAGACAUCUUGUCAGGUGCCUCUGCCUUUUCUCUAGAGGCAACCCACCCAAAGCCCCCACCCGGAUGGAUACCUGAACUAGUUGUGAACGCUUAGUCCCGGACACGCAGCACCCACUGCAUGCCAAGCUCUGUUUUAAGCACCGAGGACGUGGAGUCACAGAGACAUUGAGUAACUUUCUCAAGGUCAUCCAGCUGGCGGGCUGCAGAGGCAGGGUUCAAAUCCCAGGAGUUUCGCCCUAACCGCUAGGCAAGAGUCUAAUGGACAGCGCUUGGCAUAGGAUAGGUGCUUGGCAACGGUGCUGGGGUUAGAAUUAUUACCAACCAUAGCCUCACCUGCCUUUUCACCAUACAGCACGGGACUGUGAUAAAGCGGUCAUUUGGUAAAUGGCCAGUUCUAGCCAAGUCAGGGAUACAGAACUACACAAGACAAUUCCGGGCACUUGGAAUUGGCUUCCCUGGACUUCAUACGAGCUGUUUGUCUGGACAUCUCUACCGGGUCGUAAUUUCUAACUGUGUUGAGGCACAAAGCUGAGUCACGGGAACUACUCAGAAGUUCGUCGACGAGCACCGGUCCCUUGGUUAGUGAGUGAGCCGAGCCAGCUGCUAGGGACCUGCAUCACAUCACAGGUCUCUUACCCUCUAUUUGCUGCUGUUCCCAUAGAACCUCUCAGAAAUGACAAAAACUCACGUGUCUCUAUGAAAAAGGAACGCCACACGAGUGCCGACAGCUGGUGCCAAUGAUGGAAGCAAAGAGAUUUAAAAAAAAAAAAAAAAAAUCAUUCGUUCUAGAGCGCCUGGGUGGCUCAGUGGGUUAGGAGGCCGACUCUUGAUUUCAGCUCAGGUCACGAGCUUGUGGUUCCUGGGUUCGA